GACGAACGCUGGCGGCGUGCUUAACACAUGCAAGUCGAACGGAAAGGCCUUUUCGGAGGUACUCGAGUGGCGAACGGGUGAGUAACACGUGGGUGAUCUGCCCUGCACUCUGGGAUAAGCCUGGGAAACUGGGUCUAAUACCGGAUAGGACCGCACUUUAGUGUGUGUGGUGGAAAGUUUUUUCGGUGUAGGAUGAGCCCGCGGCCUAUCAGCUUGUUGGUGGGGUAAUGGCCUACCAAGGCGGCGACGGGUAGCCGGACUGAGAGGUUGGUCGGCCACAUUGGGACUGAGAUACGGCCCAGACUCCUACGGGAGGCAGCAGUGGGGAAUAUUGCACAAUGGGCGCAAGCCUGAUGCAGCGACGCCGCGUGGGGGAGGACGGCCUUCAGGUUGUAAACUCCUUUCGCCAGGGACGAAGCGUUUUGUGACGGUACCUGGAGAAGAAGCACCGGCUAACUACGUG
rnacentral:rRNA from 1 species